rnacentral:pre_miRNA from 1 species
AACAGUAAGAGUUUAUGUGCUGAGGUUGAAAAUUCAGCACAUGGUCUCUUACUUGUA